CGCGCACCUGCAGGAAUUGUGAAGAGCUUUCCUUAAAUUAUUCCUCAGGUUGUUGUCUUGUUUUUGACAUUAUCUUAUCUGCAAAGCUCUCAGUCAGUGUCUGCCUUCUGCUGGAAUCAUUGCAGUGAUGUAACCAUUGGUGUUUGCUGUAAUCUUUUCAUACUGAAUGUGAAAACUGCAUCCAGCUUUACUGUGAAAUUCACGAAGAACUCAGCUUCUGGGCAAUUGUCAAAGGAGCUUUUUAUCCUUCCGAUCUGAUCAUCCAUCCAUCCGUGUUUAGCUCCAUUGAAAAAAGGCCUUACUGCUGAUAAAUUCCUGGACAGGAACACGUCCCUCCACGUCCCAAGUAGAAAGAUGAGUGUAAAGGAGUGCUUGAUGGAAGAGUGUGACUGAGGACCAAAGGACUGAGGACCAGAGUACAGUUCUCAGCAAUCAGUAAAAAGUGCAGAAUGCACCAGAGACCAGCACAAGCCUUCUGCAUCCUCAACAUGGGCCUUCAGCCAGUCCUCUUAAUACAAAGGAAACAGAAGAAGCUAAAACCAAACCUGCCUGUAUCUGUUAUCACUGUAUCUCAAUGCCACUAUGAGCUCACAUGUUACUUGAAAGCAGCACUGCAAGGAAACCAUACUCUACCCUUAAACAUGUGGUCCCUGGAGGAGGGAGUGUGCCAGAGAAUGAUGGGAGAUGUUUACUCCUCACCCCAAAAGACAAGCUCUCUGAUUCUGGUCAUUGUUCAUAACACUGUUUUCCAGUGCAGAUCACAAGAACUAUGCUCGCCACGCUCCUCCUUGGGAUACAAAAGCUACUAAUGUCCAGUAAGUUCAGUAAGCAGCGCACUAAUCUUGUGUAGGAGGAUGCUAGGGUGCGUUUUCCCAUCUGAUGGGCUAACUGUUGUUAUUGGCCA